rnacentral:lncRNA from 10 species
UGGUAGGGCCACAUCUGCCAGAGCCUGGAGUCUGCGAAGGCCGGGACCCGGUUCCCCGGCCCACAGUGGGGGUGUGCAAACCCGAGAGAACUGGGAAGUGCCGUCAGAAGCGAUAACUGACGACGUCUAAUGUCUAUCUGACCGCAGUCGCUGAAACCUCUACAACUUAGUUGACCGUAACUGCCAGAGCCCUGCCCUGAAUUCCUGUCCUUACUCCCUCUUUAAGAUUGCGUACCCACUGCAGAGUGCUGAAGACGGGGUAGCCACGAGGUUGCAAAUUCGUGAAGAAUCAGCAUCAUGUUUGGCAGCUGAGUAUUGGAGCCAGGAGCCUGCCAUGAGGUUUUGAGAACAGAGUGCUGUUUUAGAGCUGGCAGCAGCAUCUCAGCCCAAGAGAAGGUUAUAUUCCCAGAGGAUGUCAGUCCCAAGGACCAGUAGCUGCCAUCAGUUUGGAUUCUGAAAACUAACUGGCAUCAACACUGGGUGUAGAAACAUGCUUGCCUUAUGUAUCAGAGGACAUGCUCAGCAGAUCCAAGAGAUAUAUUUGGCAACUUUUUCUAGAAAAGGCACAUUGGGUAUCAUUCAUUACAUUCUUGAGUUUUUUUGGGUUUUUUUUUUUUUUUUUGAGACAGUCUUGCUGUAUUGCCCAGGCUGGAGUGUGGUGGCACAAUCACAGCUCAUUGCAUCCUCAAUCACCCAGGCCUAAGCAAUCCUCCCACCUUGUAGCUGGGACUACAGCUCACAGCACACCUGGCUAAAAUUUUUUUUUUGUUGAGACGGAUUCUCUAUGUUGCCCAGGCUGGUCUCAGGCUCCUGGGCUCAGAUGGUCCUCCUGCCUCAGCUUCCAAAGGCACAGGCCAAGUUGUAGCUUUGUCCCUUGCCAUCAUGCCCAACAAGAGGUUCUAUACCUUUUAAUGAAUUGACUUUCAUAAAUUGGUUAUGUUGGUGGGCAAAGUUCUUUAAGCUGGAAAUUGUAAAUUCCUCCUGAAAUGUUUUUUCAUGCAGUUACCAUGAACUAA